rnacentral:miRNA from 1 species
ACACAUUACAGCCAAUCAGCAGCAGACCCUCCCUCCCAGACCCUGCCACCUCCUGGACAGCAUCCAUUUUGAAGCUGCAUUCUUAGUGAGCUGUCCAGGAGGUGGGAGGGUCUGGGAGGGAGGGUCUGCUGCUGAUUGGCUGGAAUGUGUCU